GACGAACCGAGCGAACGUUGUUCGGAAUCACUGGGCUUAAAGGGCGCGUAGGCGGCUUACCAAGUCAGGGGUGAAAUUUUGCGGCUUAACCGUAACAGUGCCUUUGAUACUGGUAGGCUCGAGGGAGGUAGGGGUCCGCGGAACUUCUGGUGGAGCGGUGAAAUGCGUUGAUAUCAGAAGGAACGCCGGUGGCGAAAGCGGCGGACUGGAUCUCUUCUGACGCUGAGGCGCGAAAGCUAGGGUAGCAAACGGG
rnacentral:rRNA from 1 species